UGCAAGUCGAACGGAAAGGCCCCUUCGGGGGUACUCGAGUGGCGAACGGGUGAGUAACACGUGGGCAAUCUGCCCUGCACUUCGGGAUAAGCCUGGGAAACUGGGUCUAAUACCGGAUAGGACCUUUAGGCGCAUGUCUUUAGGUGGAAAGCUUUUGCGGUGUGGGAUGGGCCCGCGGCCUAUCAGCUUGUUGGUGGGGUGAUGGCCUACCAAGGCGACGACGGGUAGCCGGCCUGAGAGGGUGUCCGGCCACACUGGGACUGAGAUACGGCCCAGACUCCUACGGGAGGCAGCAGUGGGGAAUAUUGCACAAUGGGCGCAAGCCUGAUGCAGCGACGCCGCGUGGGGGAUGACGGCCUUCGGGUUGUAAACCUCUUUCACCAUCGACGAAGGUCCGGGUUUUCUCGGAUUGACGGUAGGUGGAGAAGAAGCACCGGCCAACUACGUGCCAGCAGCCGCGGUAAUACGUAGGGUGCGAGCGUUGUCCGGAAUUACUGGGCGUAAAGAGCUCGUAGGUGGUUUGUCGCGUUGUUCGUGAAAUCUCACGGCUUAACUGUGAGCGUGCGGGCGAUACGGGCAGACUAGAGUACUGCAGGGGAGACUGGAAUUCCUGGUGUAGCGGUGGAAUGCGCAGAUAUCAGGAGGAACACCGGUGGCGAAGGCGGGUCUCUGGGCAGUAACUGACGCUGAGGAGCGAAAGCGUGGGGAGCGAACAGGAUUAGAUACCCUGGUAGUCCACGCCGUAAACGGUGGGUACUAGGUGUGGGUUUCCUUCCUUGGGAUCCGUGCCGUAGCUAACGCAUUAAGUACCCCGCCUGGGGAGUACGGCCGCAAGGCUAAAACUCAAAGGAAUUGACGGGGGCCCGCACAAGCGGCGGAGCAUGUGGAUUAAUUCGAUGCAACGCGAAGAACCUUACCUGGGUUUGACAUGCACAGGACGCGUCUAGAGAUAGGCGUUCCCUUGUGGCCUGUGUGCAGGUGGUGCAUGGCUGUCGUCAGCUCGUGUCGUGAGAUGUUGGGUUAAGUCCCGCAACGAGCGCAACCCUUGUCUCAUGUUGCCAGCGGGUAAUGCCGGGGACUCGUGAGAGACUGCCGGGGUCAACUCGGAGGAAGGUGGGGAUGACGUCAAGUCAUCAUGCCCCUUAUGUCCAGGGCUUCACACAUGCUACAAUGGCCGGUACAAAGGGCUGCGAUGCCGCAAGGUUAAGCGAAUCCUUUUAAAGCCGGUCUCAGUUCGGAUUGGGGUCUGCAACUCGACCCCAUGAAGUCGGAGUCGCUAGUAAUCGCAGAUCAGCAACGCUGCGGUGAAUACGUUCCCGGGCCUUGUACACACCGCCCGUCACGUCAUGAAA
rnacentral:rRNA from 1 species